GGGGGCGGUGCCGCGCGGCGCGUGCCGGCAGCUAGCCCCGCCCCUUUUCGCCUCUAGGAGCGCUGCCAUUGGCUGCCGCCCCGCGCGGGUCUCCCUAAGCCCCGCCCAUCGCCCCGCCCACCGCUCCCCCUCCCGCCCCCACCUUGAGCCGGGGGAGCGGGGGCGCCAACAGCGGCACUGCCGGACACCGGAAGUGAGAGAGGGGAGGGAGGGGGCGCUCUGCACGGCUGCGGCGGCGCGGGGCACGACGGGACGGCAAUGGGGGAUGAGAGGGGGGUCGGUCCUCCAGCGGGGUCCGCCGGGCUGAGCCCAGCUGUGACGGGCCGCUUCGUACAACGGAGCCGGGUGGGGGCACAUGGGGCCAGGGCAGCUGUAGGGUGUGGGCACAUACAGGCUGUGCUGCCCUCCAUGUUGGCCCAGCGGGUGAUGGGCCGGGCUGGGGCCAUGUGUGACCCAGGGAUCAGCCCUGGGUGGCAGCACACCCUGUAUCAUAAUACAUGGCCGCAUUGGGGCUGUGCUGGUGCUGAGCUUUGAGCCUCAUCAGUGCUUUAUCAGUGCUCACACAUCAUCAUUGUGGAGCACACAGAUGUCCCUGCACGUGUUUUCUUCCCCCCCCCCUCCCGUUUCAUCCCCCAUUACCCUCAAUAAUACCUUGAACCCAAUUAAUGAGAGCUGAAACGUCUUUCAGCUCCGUUGUGUUUUUUAAUUACCUCCCUUCAGUUCGUAUUGCGACAGAGUCCGAACGGCACCUUCCUCGAAAGAGCUCCAUUAAAAUGCAAAUGAUCAGUUUGCAGAACUUGGCUGUUCCUACGACAGUUUUGAGCCUUACAAAACAGCGCACACAGCUCAGCAUCCCGCUGCCACCUGCCCUGUCACCAACAGGCCGUUCUAUGAUUCUACAAGAUCCCUUUUCCAGCUGAAGGUCUUUGCUAGCAGAAGGUGCCCGUGGAGCCUGGAGCUGCUCAGCACACAGGGCUUCAGUCUCAGGAAGGUUUUGUCUCUUUCUGCUGAUCACAAGUAGCUCCAUCCCCCCCUUAAUUAGAAUUUAUGUUGUGUUUUAGGUAAAUACUGCAAUUACUCUGUCCUUAGAAAUGAUGUGAUUUCUUAGAUGUGAUUUCUUCUCAUAAAUAGAAAACUCAUGGAAAUAAACGAAUAGGAAAAAAAAAAAAGCAAGUUGGAGGGGAAAAAACCAGUGUAGUUUGUGGGAUUUGGGGUGUAGAAGCCACCAUAAACAAGACACGGGAGAAGGGAAAAGCACAACCAUCCCACUCUGGAGGUGUGUUGGGGGGUGCAGACCAUGUGCACUGAAUGAGGUUUUGCAUUCAAUAAGCCGAGGUAAUUUCUUGUGCCUUUGUCCUGUGGUUGGUUUGGAGGCGUGCUGAAAAAGCCGAGUGGCCUCGUUAUUCUGUUACUCCUUUUUGUGGGGUUUUUUGUUGUUGUUUCCCUAGUGCAAUUUUUUAGGGGAAAGGGAGGUGCAAAAGAAAAAUCCCAAGAGAUCUGUGAUGCGACAGCUUUGCUUGCAAAGUUCCCCUUUUGUUUCCAGCGUGCUCCAUCACCAAAGCCUGUUCUUCUCCAAGCCCUGCAGGAAGGAAGCGAUUUUAGGGCUCUUGCCCUCAGCCCUGCACAGCCUGGGACAAUCCGCUGAGCUCAGAGCAGCUCAAAGAAGGGUUAAGGACCCACAUUCCUGUCCCUAUUGCUGCAGACCAAAGGUCAGCGGGUUUCUUACCACGAAGGAAGGGAGGGAGGAGGUGUGCAGCCCUGACCAGGUCAUUUUAGGAGUGAACCACAUCUGAGCUGCACUAAUGAACUGUGUUUGUCUCUCUCUCGCAUGCACGUACUCCUGCUUGGAGCCUGGCGAGUUGGAAUUCCUGCUCUAGUGGGAGUGAGCAUGUCGAUUGUGUUUUUUCCAUGAUGUGUAUUGAGGCAUUUGCUCGGUUGUGGGAGUAAACACUUGGGGGAAUUCUCCAUGAACUAGAGAGGGCAAGUCGUGAGCCUACUAAAUAUGGUGAAGGGAGACUGCAAAUAAAAACCCCGGAGAGGAAAACUCCCUCUUCCCACCCAGCUGCCCCUCAUCACCCCCACGAGCUGCUCCUCCUCAUCCCGCUGCUGGUCGGGCGCUCCUUCCAUCCCAGCACACUGCACCUCUUCCCACUGCAGCUGCCUCACGUGGGUCCCAGGGCUGUCAGUGCACCGGAGGGUGAGCGAUGGUGCUCAUGCACAAAGCACUUGGUCAGCUGCAUCCCACCAACCUCCUUUGGUGCUGCUCUCGAAGGUGUUGGCCACGUUAGCAAACAGUUGAUCUUUCAUCUCCAAAAAUAUUCCCCCUCUGAGCCCCACUCGCUGGCUGUGGGCUCACCCCAAGGCCCUGCUGGUGGCAGCACAGCCCCCAGAGCAGCAUUUGGGUUCAGUGGCCACAGUGGGGAUCUCUGGGGCUCUUCUGGCUCCCAAUCCCCUUCCUCUGCAUGGGAAGCCUGAGUGCAGUUUCAGUUUCCAGUCCCCAUUGUUUCCAUGGGAAUCCCAGAGGCCAUUUUGGUUCCCAAACCCCAUUUCCUCCAUGGGAAGCCCAGGCAGCCUAGUGCCUGCAUUGGAUUUUGGCUGCAUUCUGCAUUCUCCCAGCUUUGCCAGGUGCUGAUGUGGGGCAUCUUCCCUUUGCCAAGCAGCACUUUGGGAUGGCCUGCAAGCAGAGUGCUCUUCCAUUGGAGUUUUUCUUUCACAACUCUUGGCUCAGCUUCGCCUCUUUGCACGCUGGUGCUUGCAGCGUGCUUCUGUCUGAUGCCAGCAGCGCCAUGCAGGAAGGAUGCAGUGAAUUUGGAUGUCUGCAGCAUCUCACACCUCCAGCAGCCCCUAUGGCCAUGAGCAAAUCCACUCCUGCCAACCCAGGUCCCCUGGUGAUGUUCCCACGUCGGCAUCGCUCUGAUCACAGCUUAGUUUUCAAGCUAAAUCCCUUUUGCUGCAGUAUCUCAAACUACUCUGUGCUUAAGAGAGAUUCAUCUCGGGUAUAUUCUUCUGCUUGCAAAGAUUUUGUUUCCCUUGGAACCCAAACAAAUUGCAGGUCUGUCUCUGAGCCCUUUGUUCCAUGCAAACGAUAUAAAUAGUGAAUGCAAUGGAGCUGCGCUUGGAAAGCACAGAGCAACAGUGAAAAUGUAUAUAUAACUGUGAAGGGUUGGGGAGUGUGGUUUUGGGUUUAGCCCGGCAAUUGGUGGCUCGCCUAACAAUUUAGGCCACAUUUGAGGUUUAUGUAGGUUAAAUACGGUACGCCACAUUUCGCUGCUGUUUGCACAGAGCUCUGGGCACAGCUGGAGAAUGUGGGGCAAUGAAUGAGGAGAACUGGGGCAAAAUGUUCAAAAAAGUGUUAUGAAGUAAAUAAGAAACCUUUUUCUCCCCCCUCCCCCACAAUAUUUGAAUCAUUAAAUUGCUUGUCAGGAGCUGUGAUGUGGGCUGCCCAUCAAAUGGGUACUACCAGAGGCAUCUGGGAGGCCAUUGGUGCUGCCUAGCACUCCCAGAUCACAGUGAGUGCAGCGCCCAGCACCUCCAGGCAGCUCUCCCAUUGCUGUGUGUCCUAUGGGACCAUGCAGUAUGGCUAUGUGGGGUCUGACGGUCUGACCCAGUUUCAGCCAUUGAAAGAUGGGGACAGGAGGGGAGACAAGCACUAUUCUGGUAAAGCUGGGAUCCUAGGGGCUGAUGACAAUCACAGCAGCAGAAUGGCAGUGCUGGAGACAUCCUCAUUUUCCUUCCACCUCCAGAAAUGCCCACAGCUGCUUUCUGAGCCUAACCUACUUGCUGUCAUUGCUGCUCUGAGCACUGCACCAAUGGCUCUCAGCACAAAGCAGCUCCACAAAAGUCCCUCUGGCACCCAACCCUUCCCAGUUCAAGCAUCCUCAGUGCCUGCAUUCCCACUGCACAGCUGCAACCAUGCUUCAUCUUCAUCUUUCCUUUCCCUGGUUUAGCAGUGCCGGAGCAGAGGAAAAGAGGAACAUUUCCAUGGGGAAGAAGCAGGGCUGGGCAGAGCGAGUGGCUGCAUUAGGGCUGUGAGCCCCCUGUGCUGUCUCACUCCAACCCAAGCUCUCCUGGUUGGCUCUCAGAGCCAUUCACACCUCCCCUUGCUCUUUCCCAGCCUGGCAGUGUGUCAUGUCUGCGGGGGCAGGUGCCCAUCUGUCUCCAGUUGCAGUUUUUAAACAUUUCCCUCCCCCUCUCUCCCUCCUCUGCCCAGUGCUGCUGACCCCAGUGGGCACCGUGCAUCGCUCCAUGCAGCACAGGGGGGGAUGAAGGCAUUCUGCAGCUGGAUCAGCUGCGGCAAAGACAAAUGCAAUGGGAGUUCAUUGCACAUCCUUGCACAUGUCUGUGUGUGUGUGUGCAUGCUCAGGGUUGCAGCUGGCCCCAAUAAGGGCAGGGGAAAGGCAUGCUGCCUGCUCUCUGCUUGGGAUUAACGGGGGGUACAGCCUGCAUCCGUGCAGAUGCGAGUUUGUUUACUCGUACCAGAUAGUUUGAUGGCUUUAUCUGAUCACAGGUUUUCCUGAGGAAGGAAGGGUGAGUCUGAGUCACUUGAAAAUGGGGGCCCUGCACCGCUGGGUAGGGCUGGUGGGGCUGGGGUUGUGUGUGGGGGGGAGAUGUGCCCCACUGCUGUGCCCCCACUGUGCUCACAUUGCAGGGCCAUGGGAUGCUGUGGUUCUUCAUGGACUCCACAGAUAGAAAUCCACAGAGAAGCCCUGGGGUGGGGUAGAACUGAGAUGGGACGGCUGUGGGAUGGAUGGACAAGUGAUAUCUCCAUGAAAUGUCCCCCAAGCACUCACACUUUGCAUCUGAUGGCAACUGAGGCUUUUGAGCACACUGAGCAGAGGAGCAGAGCCAGCAAUCUGCUGAGCACACAACGCGUGGCCUCUGGGGUCCAGAAUUACUGGGACAGAGAAGGGGCUGUUCCCUGUGUGCUUUAUUUAUGGGAAUCAGGGCAGUGAAGUUCCCCCAGCACGCAGAAUUGGGCCCAGCGCUGCCCAGCUCUGUGACCUUGAGAGUUGACUCUGUGUGGGGCUGGAUGGGGAAGUGCCCCCAUACUGCAUCCUCAUCCUGUGCCUGGAGGGGUACAGCAGGUCUCCAGUGCAAAUCCAUGGGAAAGAAGCCAUAUGAACCCCCCCAAAAAAAUCCCCAGACUCUGAGCAGAUGCUGGGCAGCCCCAUCCUGACCACUGUACACACACAGCAUGGAGGGGAUGUUUCCUUCUUGUACCAAAUUGCAUCCUCCAUGCUUGGGGACCUUUAGCUAUUGGAGACCCCAAAACAGGAACCAACAGCAAAGCUUUGUUUUUUGCUUUAUUUAUUUCUUUUUUCUUUUCUUUUAACCUGCAUUUUUUUCUUUUAGCCAUUUUCUGAAGCAGCUGCCAGGUCAUUGCAUCCCCCUCCCACAUCCACUGGGAUCAUGGAGGCACUGGGAGAACUGGAGAAGGACAGUGGGAUCUAUUGGAAGGGCAUUAAGAUUUCAUGGAAGGACCUUGGGAUCUAUUGGAAGGGCAUUAGGAUUUCAUGGAAAAGCACUAAAAUGUAAUGGAAGGACAUUAGGAUUUCACGGAAGGAUGGUGGCAUCCAUUGGAAGGACCCCAGAUCUGCAGCCAUAGGUGGCACAGGUUCCCUUUAGGGAAGCUCAGGGCAAAGCCAUGGAGCUCAUAAGGAACGUAUGCUGUCCCACAGCAAUCAGGACAAGGCCCAGCAGGAUUCCUCCCCUUGGUGGGAACGGGUGAUGGCUGAACUCGGGGAAAGCAGCAUCAUUUCCUCCCCACCAGAACAAAGCAAUGCUGUGCCAGGCAAACUCUGCCUUCCCACGGGCGCAGCAGGAACACAGCCCCUUCGGUGCCCUUCUCGCAGCCACCCUUCCCAGUUCCUCUCCCACCUUCUGGGCUCAGCACAUCGCCUCUCCCCCAGCUCCCUCCCAGCUGCUCUCCCCUCAUCCCACCGCAGCGCUGCUGGGAGGGGGGGGGCUGCCCUGAUGUGGGAAACAAAGGCGGCAGCCAGGAGGCGUUUCCCGAAAAUAUGGGGCUGGGAGAGGUCGGGGCCAAGGGGCAGCGUGCCCAGGGCCAGCAGGAAAUCCUCCCCACGCAUCAGGCAGCGCCGGCACCCAACGCCCGCCCAGUUGGUUUUGGCUCCGAUGCAGUUUGUUACCCGGGGCUGGGAUGGGGCUGCACAGCCCAUCAAGGACAUCCAAUGUGAUUGCUGCUAGCAGAGCCAAACGAAAACUCCAACUGCUUCCUGCAGCUCCUGCGUGGGGCAAUGGUGGCCAGACCCACAGCAUCGCCAUUGCACUGACCUCCAGGUCAUGGGGACCUCCAAGGUUCGAGGAUCUCCACAUCUGGGGGACCUCCAUGGCUUGGGGAUGGCUUGAGGUCCCUCCAUGGCUUGGGGACCUCCAUGGCUUGGGUACUUACAUGGUUCCAUUGUUACCUAGCAGUUAACUGGGGAAACUGCCUCAUUUCCCAGGCUGGGGACCUCCAUGGCUGGGGAUUUCUGUCUCCUGGGGAGCUCCAUGGCUUGGAGACCUCCACAACUUGGGGACCUCCAUGGUUCAGGAACCUCCAUGGCUUAGGUACCUCCAUAAUCCCAUCAUUCUCCCACCAUGAAUUACUUCCCAGUUUCCCAUGCUGGGCAGCAGGAGGUUCCAUGCAGGGUGUGCCAUGGUCACAGCAUCAUUGGAGGCGGGAGGAAGAGCCAGUUUCCAUCUAAAGCCAUUGUAUCACCACCUGAUGAUGCCCUGUGUGCAGCACAAGGCUGUUUACUCCUUCCUAAAGAAAAGAAGCAUCCGAAGUCUUAAGAAAGACCAAGAAUAAAUUAAUUUAAUUAAUGAAA